rnacentral:rRNA from 1 species
UGGGGAAUCUUGCGCAAUGGGGGAAACCCUGACGCAGCGACGCCGCGUGCGGGAUGAAGGCCUUCGGGUUGUAAACCGCUUUCAGCAGGGACGAAAUUGACGGUACCUGCAGAAGAAGGCCCGGCCAACUACGUGCCAGCAGCCGCGGUAAUACGUAGGGGCCUAGCGUUGUCCGGAUUUAUUGGGCGUAAAGAGCUCGUAGGCGGUUCGGCAAGUCGGAUGUGAAAUCUCCACGCUUAACGUGGAGGGGCCAUUCGAAGCUGCCGUGACUCGAGUCCGGUAGGGGAGUGUGGAAUUCCUGGUGUAGCGGUGAAAUGCGCAGAUAUCAGGAGGAACACCAGUAGCGAAGGCGGCACUCUGGGCCGGUACUGACGCUGAGGAGCGAAAGCGUGGGGAGCGGAACAGGAUUAGAUACCCUGGUAGUCCACGCCGUAAACGUUGGGCACUAGGUGUGGGGGGUCCUUCCACGAUCUCCGUGCCGCAGCUAACGCAUUAAGCG